AUUUUUUUUGUUUUAAAUACUUUUUGUAAAUCGUAAUUUAUUUGGCCCAUGAUCUUUAUAACUGUUUCCACUUAACGAAGGCAUAUUAUUUUCUGUCAUGAUCUUCUCUCAUAAUCUCAUUCAUUCGUUUCUCUUCCUCUCAAUUUUGAAACUUAUUUAUCAGUUUAUAAUUUAGUGUUCUAGACUCUUUGAUUUCUAAGAACAUCAACAAUAAUCAAGCACAUCUCUAAUAAUGAUCAUCAUAUUUCUUCUUAGGCAUACGUAUGAAAGGAAACUAGGAUGACAAAUCUGUUGAAAAUUUUCUGGAAAGAUAUCAUUAUCUUCCGUGGCAAAUGAAGAAUAUUCUGCAGAAAGGUAGAUGUUUUUGGGAAAAGCAGUUGAAGAAAAAUUCUUCAUGAAUCUCGUUAACUUGAAUGCUAAAUGGAGUCAGUUUCACGUCACCAACGAAGAUUGAAGAUAGAAAUAGAGAAGAAAAGUUUUUUUUUUUUUUUUACGAUCUAUGUUUGUUCUUUGAAUUCAUUUUUCUUUCAUUUUCUUGAUUUUCCUUGUUCUUUAGAUUGUAUUGCAAUGGAAAAUUAUAAGAAAUAUGUUGUAGAAAAUAUUUACUUGAUUUAUUUACUGACAUAUGUUUCACAUCAAAUGUAGAAAUACAAAUAUUUUCAAUCGAUGAUUGUAAAUUAUAUAAUUAUUAAAUAUAUUUCAAGAUUAUAUUGAUUUUAUUUUAUUUAUUGAUAAAUUAAAUAGUAAUUAAAAUCAUUUAUUUUAAUUGACAUGAAAUUAACAUCAUUUAUAAAAUUGAUAUAAAUGUUAAUAUCAAUUUUUAGAAUUGAUACAUAUUGAUAUCAUUUACAAUAAUUGAUGCAAAUAUUUGAUAUUUUUACAUCAAUUAUUAAUGAAAUGAUAUAAAUUAUUUGCAUCACCACUUUCAGAGUCAUUUAAAUAAAUGAUGCAAAAUUACUUUACAUCAUUUAUAAGUAAUGCAAAUAUUUAAAAUAAGUGAUGUUAAACUAGCUUUUUUUUGUAGUGUAUGGAUCCGCCUAAUCCAAAUCUGAUAUGUUCCACCUUUAUUUAAACAUCUAUAAUUGAAUAAAAUAUUUGCACAGACGUACGCAUCAAAAUCUAGAUUUAGAUUAUUUAAUUAGUUAUAUUCACCUUAUAUAACAAUUGAUUUGUUAGAGAUUUAUAUGAUUUUCUUUAUCUGUAAAAUGUUUUUUUGGUAUUCAAAAUUAGCCUAAAUCUAUACUAUUAAAGCAGAAUACUUCUUAUGAAUCUGCCCCUGAAUUUUUCUAUUAAUUACAAAACAUUCCAUUUCUUUUUUCAAUUGUUUUUAGUGGGUUUCAGAAAUUAAAAGCCCAACACAUUUGCUUCUGUCCAACUAAACAAAACAGCCCAAUAAUUUAAAAACUUAAAGUCAAAGAAGGCCAACAAUAUUUUCUUUUAAAAAUAAUUAUAAGUUAAUUUAAAUACAUAAUUAUUAUUUAAUAUUUGUGUAAUUAUAAUUUAAUAUUUAUGCAUUAUUGAAAAAUAUGUAGAAUGAAAAACGUAAUGUCUAUUACAUUUGUCAUAUAAUAUUUAAUUAAUAAGUUAAAAUUGUAAAUAAAUAACCUUAGUAAAUAUAUAAUCACAAUAUGAUUAAAUUUAUUGAGUAGAAGUUUGCACAAAUUAAUUAGUACACAAAUUUAUUAUUAUAUAAUAAAAAAUAAAGAAGAUAAAAUUAUAAAAAAUUACUAUAAACAAAUAUAAAAUCUAUUAAAAUAUAGAUUAGACAAAUAUUUA